rnacentral:rRNA from 1 species
AUUGAACGCUGGCGGCAUGCCUUACACAUGCAAGUCGAACGGUAACAGGUCUUCUGAUGCUGACGAGUGGCGAACGGGUGAGUAAUACAUCGGAACGUGCCCGAUCGUGGGGGAUAACGAGGCGAAAGCUUUGCUAAUACCGCAUACGAUCUACGGAUGAAAGCGGGGGAUCUUCGGACCUCGCGCGGACGGAGCGGCCGAUGGCAGAUUAGGUAGUUGGUGGGAUAAAAGCUUACCAAGCCGACGAUCUGUAGCUGGUCUGAGAGGAUGAUCAGCCACACUGGGACUGAGACACGGCCCAGACUCCUACGGGAGGCAGCAGUGGGGAAUUUUGGACAAUGGGCGAAAGCCUGAUCCAGCCAUGCCGCGUGCAGGAUGAAGGCCUUUGGGUUGUAAACUGCUUUUGUACGGAACGAAAAGCCUCUUUCUAAUAAAGAGGGGUCAUGACGGUACCGUAAGAAUAAGCACCGGCUAACUACGUG